rnacentral:tRNA from 1 species
UAGCGUAGUGGUUAAGGCUAUGGAUCGCCAAUCCAGAGACGGCGGGUUCGAUUCCCGU